rnacentral:rRNA from 1 species
GAGUUUGAUCCUGGCUCAGGAUAAACGCUGGCGGCGUGCCAUGGAGACAUGCAAGUCGAACGGACGAUCGAGGCUUGCCUUGACCGUUAGUGGCGGACGGCUGAGUAACGCGUAGGUGACCUGCCCCGAAGUGGGGAAUAACUGCCCGAAAGGGUGGCUAAUACCGCAUGUGGUGGUGUGUUCAUUCACACCAGUAAAGCCGCAAGGCGCUUCGGGAGGGGCCUGCGUCCGAUUAGCUCGUUGGUGGGGUAACGGCUCACCAAGGCGACGAUCGGUAGGUGGUCUGAGAGGACGAUCACCCAGACUGGGACUGAGACACGGCCCAGACUCCUACGGGAGGCAGCAGUCGGGAAUUUUGCGCAAUGGACGAAAGUCUGACGCAGCAACGCCGCGUGAGGGAUGAAGGCCUU